UGCAAGUCGAGCGGAAACGAUGGAAGCUUGCUUCCAGGCGUCGAGCGGCGGACGGGUGAGUAAUGCAUAGGAAUCUGCCCGGUAGUGGGGGAUAACUCGGGGAAACUCGAGCUAAUACCGCAUACGUCCUACGGGAGAAAGUGGGCUUUUGCUCACGCUAUCGGAUGAGCCUAUGUCAGAUUAGCUAGUUGGUGGGGUAAAGGCUCACCAAGGCGACGAUCUGUAGCUGGUCUGAGAGGAUGAUCAGCCACACUGGGACUGAGACACGGCCCAGACUCCUACGGGAGGCAGCAGUGGGGAAUAUUGGACAAUGGGGGCAACCCUGAUCCAGCCAUGCCGCGUGUGUGAAGAAGGCUUUCGGGUUGUAAAGCACUUUCAGCGAGGAGGAAAGCGGUGUUGUUAAUACCAGCAUCGUGUGACGUUACUCGCAGAAGAAGCACCGGCAAACUCCGUGCCAGCAGCCGCGGUAAUACGGAGGGUGCGAGCGUUAAUCGGAAUUACUGGGCGUAAAGCGUGCGUAGGUGGUUAAGUAAGCCAGAUGUGAAAGCCCCGGGCUUAACCUGGGAACGGCAUCUGGAACUGCUUAACUAGAGUGCAGUAGAGGAAGGUAGAAUUCCACGUGUAGCGGUGAAAUGCGUAGAUAUGUGGAGGAAUACCAGUGGCGAAGGCGGCCUUCUGGACUGACACUGACACUGAGGUACGAAAGCGUGGGGAUCAAACAGGAUUAGAUACCCUGGUAGUCCACGCCGUAAACGAUGUCUACUAGCCGUUGGGCUCCUUGAGAGCUUAGUGGCGCAGCUAACGCAAUAAGUAGACCGCCUGGGGAGUACGGCCGCAAGGUUAAAACUCAAAUGAAUUGACGGGGGCCCGCACAAGCGGUGGAGCAUGUGGUUUAAUUCGAUGCAACGCGAAGAACCUUACCUACCCUUGACAUCCAGAGAAGUCGCUAGAGAUAGCUUCGUGCCUUCGGGAACUCUGUGACAGGUGCUGCAUGGCUGUCGUCAGCUCGUGUUGUGAAAUGUUGGGUUAAGUCCCGUAACGAGCGCAACCC
rnacentral:rRNA from 1 species